AGGGGAGAACAUUUUUCGAUCUCUUCCAAAUCGUAAAAAAAAAAAAAAGAAAAAACUCUGAAGAACUCUCAACCUUCGUAAAAGUGUUUUGAUCUCUUCCAAACUUUGCAGAAACGGAUCCAAUUCAUUUAACAUUUUGAUUCUAUCAGAUGGGUACGCCAGAACUGUAUUCUUCUCGGAUGCUUUCAGCUGAUUGCUGACAUGGAAGAAAAUUACCUCGUUCAGGUUAUCAGGAGUCCAGACGGGAAGAUUACUGAUGGUUCGUCUAAUCUGGUUGCUUUAUCAUUCUCUGAUUUAUUUCCAUGUUCAAUGGACGAUCUUGUACCGGCUGGUGUUGGACCUCAUUUGCUCUUUAGCUACGUAAACCAAUGGUAUUUAUGCUAUAGUUUCUAAGCUAGCGUCUUUAUUCCUUUUGUAGGAUUCUUAAAUCUGUGGUUAUGGUGUAUCUUACUACUGUUUCAGUUAGUUCACAACGAGAAGAAACAGGGUGAUCGAGAGAGAUGAGAUGGAAGAGCGUAAAGGCAAAACAACAGCAUACAUGGGUUUUAUAGCAGCAGAAUGUUUUUGCAGUGACUCCUCCACGUGUGAAACCUCUCAUCAUUAAGGUUUGUGCUUUAGGAGAUCUAAGGAGAUUGCAAAGAUAUAAUCAUUUUUUUUGUUGAGGAUUCUGCCAUGACAGGCAAUGGAAGCUAUUCAGUCGAUGUCUUGAGCAGGAGAAAAAAGAAACUGGCACAAGAUUACGAUGAUGAAGAUCUCCGCCUGGAAUUCUCUAUCCCCUUGUGGUCCUCCGCAUGUUAGCUUCUUAAUGGCUACUGCCUCUGUAUACCUUGCCAAGCCCACCUUCACUUAAGAUGCUGGCAGCUUCAAAGUUGCUUGUCGCCUCCUUGAGUUCUUCAUAUGACAGAAACCGUGUACUUGCUGGGUGGGGAAGUGAUCCCCAUGAUGAUGCUUCCAGGAUCCUUGGUUUUACUGAAAAAAAGGAUAUGUUAUCAAGCAAAAGAACAACAAAGUUAAUUGCACGAGAGAAAAUGAUAAGCACAGAGAUUAUAGCAGUGAUGAGCACACCAGCAGCUACAGCAAAGAUAAGAAUAAGACGUUUCUUAAUACAAAAUGUAAAGAAUCAUGUUGAUAUACUCUCAGAAAAGCAUUUUACUUUGAGAAGGUGCAGGAGACCAAGCCUCAAACCAAGUAAAGUUUGACUCGCUGAGCAUAUAGAAGUUGAUCAGCUCAAUUUGGUGAAGUAGGAGACCAAGCUGGGAAGCAAAUUCGUUCAGGAACAUGUUCCAGCUGGGAGUAUCUGAAACAUUCAAGAGAAGGAUGUCCAGCUCUAUAGGGAUACACGCAGUGGCAGCCAAUACUUCCUCGUUUCAGCACCAUAUCUGGUUUGCAACAAUACUCACCUGUUAUUGCUACUUUGCUAGUCUAAUGACAAAUCAAAAUGAGAAUAGAUAACGUCUUACCUGAAAUGGAGGGAGACAAAGGUGGCUUCGUUAAGCCAUCCGGAAGUGCGCCAUUACUAAUUAGAUUGCGUUGGAGCAAUAUCUACCAAACCUGCUCCAGGAGACUGGACAUUAGACGGUUUGAGAUGAACAGAAGCAACCAACCGACUAUAACGGGGAGGAGUGUUGAGAAGAUUUCAAGGUGGAGCUUGAUAACGGCAAGAGACGUUGCUGUCAAGAAGAUUUUCUGGAAAGAUGAUCUCAUAUUUGGACAAAAGCUUCAACAGAGAAGCUAAGAUGCUUGGAAAGGUUAAACUUAGACAUCCUGGCAAGUCUGAAGGAUUAUAUCUGACUAAAAGGGUCUGAUGCAUUUGUGGAUGAUAGAAAAUCUUGCGGAGGUUUCAGUCUUAAUGAUAGAAACCAACUCAACAUAUACUUGAAAGGUUUCUGGUUGCAAGAACGUUAUGGAGUCGUUAAGUUAAAAAAAACGUCAUUUCAUUGUUAAGUAGGAGGAUGAAACCUGGAUACAUCAGCUCUUUGAACAGAAGUUAAUUACAGAUCUUACAGAGAUUGUCUUUGGAGAGGAGGUUGCUCGCAGAGAUUCCAGAGUUCGCAUAACUUGGCUUCUUAUAAAUCUUAAAUGAUAGUCUUCAAACACGAAGGCGUGAAGUCUAUGAAGGUUCUUUGAAAAGGAAAAAAAAAGCAAAAUGAGAACAUGUGUCAAGUAAAAACGUCUGUCCUAUUGGCUGUACCUUUCUGAUGAUAAGAUAAUUGCUUCUGAGGGAGGCUCUUCACAGUGUCCUUACUUACUGUUCUUGGUUAAGAGCCUGCGACUGCUCUGUUUCUCUUUGCUACUAUAAAAAUGAGUCUUUUAAGUCAAGCGAGGUUUUGGUGAUCUCAGGUUGUUUGUUUCUGGAGAUUCUUUUGCAAUGAAGUCUCUUGAGGUUGCGGUUAUUAAUGGACGAGUAAUAUCUCAGAAUUAUGAUUGCAGGUUUUGCAGAGUUAAUUUAGAAGAGCAUGAAAGGGUGGUUGUUCUCAGACUCAAGGUGCAGGCAUUGAACUAGAUGAAGGCAUUGAACUAGAUGAAGGCAUUGAACUAGAUGAUAUCGCUACUCUUCUCAUCUGUGGUGAAGCUCCAUUUAUACCUGAGUUUUUACCUUCCGAUGCUAAGGCUUCUAUCCAAACGUGCUUCUCAAGUGACCCUGAGGACAUAGGCAGCGCUUAUGAGUUGUUGUCUCAUCCGUUUUUGCCUCGUCCUGAAGUGAAAGAAGAGGAGAAGAAAACGGUGGACGAGACAAGAAGCUCGUUUCUAUUGAAGCUGUUGAAGUUGAGAAUCAGACGAACAGCUUCCAAGAAGAAGAAACCAACUACGGAUGCUCUUGCUGUUUCAGAUAAGAAGCCUCUGAAGUUGAGGUUUUUCCCCACAAAGGCCCAACAGUUCAAGAGAACUCUGAACAAAGUCUUGAGGUUGAAGGCUAUUCCCAUGAAGAAAUGGACCGACUUCAAUUUAGUUUCUGUUCAUUAGUGUUUCUAGGUUGUAUUUUCUGGUUGAUUAAGGUUUAGCAUCUCUGUUUAGACUGUAGUUUCUGUUAACGUUUAGCAUCUGAUUAGUAUGUAGACUGUAGGGUCUGUUGAUAGUAUCUCUGUUUAGGCUUUUAGUUUAACUUUGGGUAUCUGAUUAGCAUUGUAGACUGUAGUUUUGUGUUGAUUAACUUUUAGUAUCUUGGUUUUAUACUGUUCAGAUUAAAAUUUAGUAUGUAGACUGUAGUUUUCUGUUGAUUGACUUUUAGUAUCUCUGUUUAGUUUGUACAUUCUCAUAUUUCAUUACAAACAUUAACGUUUAGUAUGUUGAUUAUGUUCAUUAGGUGUUAGUAUCUCUGUUUAGUCUGUAGGUCUGUUCAUUAACGGUUAGUAUGUAGUUUCUGUAGUAUCUCGGUUCUAGACUGUUCACUAAAGUUUAGUAUGCAGACUGCAGUUUCUGUUGAUUGACUUUUAGUACCUUUGUUUAGUAUAUCUCUGUUUAGGAUGUGGUUUCUGUUCAUCAGUGUCUAGUAUCUCAGGUCUCAAAUAUGUAUGUUACGACAUUAUAACUGUCAACAAAAUAGUUCCUUUCAAUUUGGUUUUCUCGCUAUGCAUAGUUCUCCUCUCUGCAAACUCCAUUCUCAAACUUUGGUAUAUUUCUCCUCUCUGCAAACUCCAUUCUCAGUUUUCUCCUGGAUAUGUGUUUGGACAUAACCGACUCAACAGAUGUUGGUUUCACGCUAUCUUCACCGCGUAGUUUUCAUGGAGCGUCCAACAGAGACUCCAUGUAAGAGUUCAGCAAACCCGAAGAAGCUCAAUUCCCCAUCUGUGUGUGUGUCUUAUCCAAUCAUGUAGAACCGAGUUUACUGUUAUAACUGGUCCAACCCCAAGUUCCUGCAUACUCAAAACAACAUGUUGUCAGUUUUAAGAGGAACUUGGCAAAGAAAGCAAACACUGCUUAACUCACAGAAGCGAGUUAUUCAGUAACGAUAGCUCUGUUUCCAUUCAUUUGAAAUAGCUCAUAAGCAUGACGUAUGCUCUCUUCCCAACAUACAAAGAGACCUUAAGAAGUUAAGAGAGAAAAAAACAAUUACUUCUCAGCUUUGGAGUCUCACUCACAAAUUACAAUAAUCAACAAGGUAAAAGAAAAAAUCAGAGAAACACAAAACAGAUCUCUACGUUUUCAAAAUUCCCAGACAAGGCUCACAUCGCUGUUACAUAGGCUAUAAAAUUUCAAGACCAGAUGUAGAUUUCUCCAACCUCAGUUUCCAGCAAACCCAAUAGGACUGUACAGCUAUCAAGAUAUAUAACGAAGCUAGUAGAGGUUGUCUUA